GCCUCAGCGUCCCCACAUGCUGGAUUACAUGCGUGAACCACCGCGCCCAGCCUGCCAUCUGGUUUUCUAACCUCACCAAGUGAAUACGAGACCUGUGCCAAUGGUACUUAGCAUGAUGUAAUCCUCAUGGUGUUUCUUUUUUUCUUAUUGCAGGAGAAGCCUGCGUCCCACUAUCACCGUCGUCCCGUUGAGGUCCCGCAGGACCUCAUACUAGAAGACAUUGAGGAUGAUGAGCUACCCCGUGAUGAGGAGAAGCCUGCGUCCCACUAUCACCGCCGUACGUAUUCUUUUUCUUUUAAAUAGUUACCCAGACGUAGUGCAUAUGCAAACAAAUUUACUUAUUUAAAGUAGGUGAUUCCUUGUUUUUACUCUAUUUAUAGGGUUGUGCAACCAUUGUUAGAGUCUAAUUGUAGAAGCUCUUUUUCCCUUUCAGGAAACUUGCUCAGUAGUGACUCCUCUUUUCUUCCCCACCCCCCACGCCCCAGGUUCUAGGCAGCCCUAAUUUACUUCCUGUUUCUGUUGUACACUUUCUUGCUGUAUUAACCGGUUCUUCAAAUGACGAUUUCACGUUGAUGAGGUUGCCCUGGCUAGGACGCCAGGCUCUUUCAUUUCUUUCUGCCCCUCUCCUUUUCUUCCUUCAGCAACAAGGAGAAUGGUCCAGCAGCAGCUGGGUCCGUGCUUGUCAAACACCUCGCUCCAUACCCUCCAGCCCGGUCUACAUUUCCCAAAGCUCCUGGUGAGAUUCCUGAGCAGCACCAAUGCACUGACUGUCACUCUGUGUUCUCUUAGGUCCCGUUGAGGUCCUGCAGGACCUCAUACUAGAAGACAUUGAGGAUGAUGAGCUACCCCGUGACGAGGUAAUAUGCAUUCUUCUGUCUCGAAGAGAAAUUUUUAUU
rnacentral:lncRNA from 13 species